CAAAUUGUGGAGAAGUCAAGAAUGAAGGCUGGGUGAGUGCAUGUGUGCGCGUGAUUUUAUAUAGAGGCAGGAAAAGAAAGGUUACCAAUAGAGAGUCUAUUACUGAAAUUAAGGUACUAUUGAACGUAGAAUCGUCAUAGCUAAGCAGGAUAACCAGUUGCAAGGUGGGGAAACGAGCAGGGGAAAGACU